AACGAACGCUGGCGGCAUGCCUAACACAUGCAAGUCGAACGAGACCUUUGGGUCUAGUGGCGCACGGGUGCGUAACGCGUGGGAAUCUGCCCUUGGGUUCGGAAUAACAGUUAGAAAUGACUGCUAAUACCGGAUGAUGACUUCGGUCCAAAGAUUUACCGCCCAAGGAUGAGCCCGCGUAGGAUUAGCUAGUUGGUAGGGUAAAGGCCUACCAAGGCGACGAUCCUUAGCUGGUCUGAGAGGAUGAUCAGCCACACUGGGACUGAGACACGGCCCAGACUCCUACGGGAGGCAGCAGUGGGGAAUAUUGGACAAUGGGCGAAAGCCUGACCCAGCAAUGCCGCGUGAGUGGUGAAGGCCCUAGGGUCGUAAAGCUCUUUUACCCGGGAUGAUAAUGACAGUACCGGGAGAAUAAGCCCCGGCUAACUCCGUGCCAGCAGCCGCGGUAAUAC
rnacentral:rRNA from 1 species